rnacentral:misc_RNA from 1 species
GCGCUUUUUGCCAUAGAUUUUUGUAAUUUUAGCUUUUGUAUUAAAUCUUAUAACAAUUUAUUUUAGUUUUAUUUGUAUUAAUUUAUUUAGUUAAAUGUUUAAAACUACUGCCUUUGAGAUUUGGCGCCAUGAACAGUCAUCGCCCAAGUUAAUUACUUUAAUCAAAGAACUAGAUGAUCAUUUGGCUGGUGGUUUACCUUUGGGUUUGGUUACAGAACUCUGUGGAGCUCCCGGAGCAGGUAAAACUCAAUUUUGUUUGCAGUUAUGUUUAAAUGUUCAAUUUCCCGAGCAUAUGGGUGGUUUGGGCGGCAAAGCUUUUUUCAUAGACACCAAUCAGGACUUUUCACCUUAUCGUUUAAAAGAAUUAGCUGAACACAUGGAAAAUCAUUUCCAACACACCUUAAAGAAACUUUACUCUAACAUGGCCACCACCUCCUCAGCCUUUAAAGAUUUUUGCACUCCACAACUGUUACAAAAUGUUUCUUAUGUCUAUUGUCACGAUUAUGUGGAGUUUAUGUCUACUAUACAUAAUUUUCGUAAUAUUUUUAUAGAUGAUUUAAAAAUUAAACUCAUUAUUAUUGAUUCAUUUUCAUUUUGUCUUCGUCAAUUGGAUGAUGUAAAAAUAAGGACUCGUAUAAAUUAUGAGAUUUUAAAUGAUUUGCAAACUUUGGCCAUGGAAUUUAAUGUGGCGGUAGUUAUUACAAAUGAAUUGACAACGCGUCAUGUAGACAAUCAGUGGUUAGUGGCUCCUGCUCUGGGUGAUUCUCAUACACAUAAAAUUAAUCAACGUUUGUUAUUAAGUCAUGAUGAGGAAAGGGAUUAUCAUGUGGUAAUGGUGGAUAAAUCAGUUUUAUGUGAUAAAAUCUCCAUAGGAUUUAAGAUAAAAUCCAGUGGAAUACGCAGUAUAACAACAUGAGAUUGUAACUUUUAUAGUGACUGUAUAAAAAUCUUACCAACCAAAUGCUUAUAGAGGGGCCGUUUUUGGGUAGCCUUCAUGGGAGUAGAGCCGGUAUUGUUUGUAGAUUACUGCUGUGACUGCAAAUGUGUCAGUAUAUUCUCUAAAGUUGAUUGAAAUUAAUAAAACUGCUGGUGCCAGAGAAAAACGUUUCAGUCUUAUAACAAAUUUCAACGCGUUCACAACGUUGCUAUAUACUUGUUAAUUACUGUUAAUUUUUUUAAUUUAAACCAAAAAACCAACUCCCUCCAAAAAAACCAAACAAAAUGAGCUCAGCUGAAUACUAUCCAUUCAAGGUAAAUAUAGAAAUUAAAU